CCUCAGUUGUGGGCUUUAGAUUGUUAUCACUUCUUAACUAAAACUUUCUGCCUUUCAUAAGUUAUUUUUGCUUACAGAUUCUGAACUGCUCCAGACCAUAAACGUUCAUAAUAGGCAUUAAAAAACCAAACAUCUUCAGAAGCCAGAAAGCAAUAACAUUUCUGAAUGGGGCAGUGUGGAGAAAUCCUAAGAGAAAUAGCAUAAGAGCAUUUUGGAAUAUAUCCCGGAAAAGAUAACUUUCUACACAUCUGUAGAGAUUCGCCAGGUUAAGAUCUGAAUUCUGAGUUGAAGUUAAAAUCACAGACUCUGGGAAAAUGGAAGGAAUCAGUGGCUAACAGUUCAAACACCAUAUUUUAAUGGCUAUUCUCCUAUUCCAAAGGGUACCAGUUUGGUAAGGUUUUUUUAAAUCUACUAAAUUUGCUAGCUAAUU
rnacentral:lncRNA from 1 species